rnacentral:rRNA from 1 species
GUACUCCGGGGAUAACAGGCUGAUACCGCCCAAGAGUUCAUAUCGACGGCGGUGUUUGGCACCUCGAUGUCGGCUCAUCACAUCCUGGGGCUGAAGUAGGUCCCAAGGGUAUGGCUGUUCGCCAUUUAAAGUGGUACGCGAGCUGGGUUUAGAACGUCGUGAGACAGUUCGGUCCCUAUCUGCCGUGGGCGCUGGAGAACUGAGGGGGGCUGCUCCUAGUACGAGAGGACCGGAGUGGACGCAUCACUGGUGUUCGGGUUGUCAUGCCAAUGGCACUGCCCGGUAGCUAAAUGCGGAAGAGAUAAGUGCUGAAAGCAUCUAAGCACGAAACUUGCCCCGAGAUGAGUUCUCCCUGACCCUUUAAGGGUCCUGAAGGAACGUUGAA